CUAGAAUUUAAGCUUUAUGUUUCCAUAGUAGAGGUAAGGAAUGGGGUAUGGACAGAGUUCUAUGGCCCUCUGGUAACAGCCACUGUUCCCUCCCUCAGACUUCUACCACAAGGCAUGGGUUGAGAACUGCCUCCAAUCCUUUUGUGCAAGUGCCUGGUAAGGUACCUAGAGAAGAGCCGCGUAAACUAUCCUGAUACCUGUGGUUCCAAGGAGCUACAUAGUUUCUCACCAGCCCAUACUCAGUCUCUACCAAUUCCUUAACAAUUCGUGAUGAAAUAUUCCUACUUCUGUUUGGUUGCAUCUGUCUCAGAUAGUAUGCUGUGGAGAUGGAAAAAAAACAAAAAACCAAAAACCAGGAGACCUUCUAUGCAAAUUUGCCUCCAAAGGCGACAGAAUUCCAUCCGCAGUGAUUUCAGGGGAAAGUUCCUCCUACAAGCUGGCUGUUCACAGGAAGUCUGUGUUGUCCAUGGGCUGAAGGAUGUGAUAACAGAGAGCGAUGGGUCACUCCCCAAUUACUGUUCAGAUGCACACUCCGUGGACAUGAGUUGGGUGCAGUAUGUGGACUGCAGUUUGCCCAUGAAGAUAUGGCAGCAGGCCAAAGGAGAGACCUUUUUCACCUAGUGCUUCAAACAAUCUUCUUAGUGGGUGUUUACUUCAAAACUUGGAAAAGAUUUCUAUCCAAUUGGUAUCCAUUGGCUGAAAGGAAGACUUCAUGCCAUUCCAUUUAUUAAAUUUUUUUGUUAUAGAUAUAUUCAAACAUCCACAAAAAUUGAGAUAAUAUAAUAAACUUCUAUAUGCAUAUCA
rnacentral:lncRNA from 1 species